AUUGAACGCUGGCGGCAGGCCUAACACAUGCAAGUCGAGCGGAUGAAGGGAGCUUGCUCCUGGAUUCAGCGGCGGACGGGUGAGUAAUGCCUAGGAAUCUGCCUGGUAGUGGGGGAUAACGUCCGGAAACGGGCGCUAAUACCGCAUACGUCCUGAGGGAGAAAGUGGGGGAUCUUCGGACCUCUCGCUAUCAGAUGAGCCUAGGUCGGAUUAGUUAGUUGGUGGGGUAAAGGCCUACCAAGCCGACGAUCCGUAACUGGUCUGAGAGGAUGAUCGGUCACACUGGAACUGGGACACGGUCCAGACUCCUACGGGAGGCAGCAGUGGGGAAUAUUGGGCAAUGGGCGAAAGCCUGAUCCAGCCAUGCCGCGUGUGUGAAGAAGGUCUUCGGUUUGUAAAGCACUUUAAGUUGGGAGGAAGGGCAGUAAGUUAAUACCUUGCUGUUUUGACGUUACCAACAGAAUAAGCACCGGCUAACUUCGUG
rnacentral:rRNA from 1 species